rnacentral:rRNA from 1 species
GACGAACGCUGGCGGCGUGCCUAAUACAUGCAAGUAGAACGCUGAAGGAAGAGCUUGCUUCUCUGGAUGAGUUGCGAACGGGUGAGUAACGCGUAGGUAACCUGCCUGGUAGCGGGGGAUAACUAUUGGAAACGAUAGCUAAUACCGCAUAAUAGUAGAUGUUGCAUGACAUUUGCUUAAAAGGUGCAAUUGCAUCACUACCAGAUGGACCUGCGUUGUAUUAGCUAGUUGGUGAGGUAACGGCUCACCAAGGCAACGAUACAUAGCCGACCUGAGAGGGUGAUCGGCCACACUGGGACUGAGACACGGCCCAGACUCCUACGGGAGGCAGCAGUAGGGAAUCUUCGGCAAUGGACGGAAGUCUGACCGAGCAACGCCGCGUGAGUGAAGAAGGUUUUCGGAUCGUAAAGCUCUGUUGUAAGAGAAGAACGAGUGUGAGAGUGGAAAGUUCACACUGUGACGGUAUCCUACCAGAAAGGGACGGCUAACUACGU